rnacentral:rRNA from 1 species
CACGUAGGGUGCGAGCGUUGUCCGGAAUUAUUGGGCGUAAAGAGCUCGUAGGCGGUGUGUCGCGUCGGCCGUGAAAACCUGCAGCUUAACUGCGGGCUUGCGGUUGAUACGGGCGGGCUAGAGUUCGGUAGGGGAGACUGGAAUUCCUGGUGUAGCGGUGAAAUGCGCAGAUAUCAGGAGGAACACCGGUGGCGAAGGCGGGUCUCUGGGCCGAUACUGACGCUGAGGAGUGAAAGCGUGGGGAGCGAACAGG